rnacentral:lncRNA from 1 species
AUCUCUCAUUUUUACUCUCUUAUGCCCAAGUUCCGAUCUUUCUCCAACUUCUAAACUAUCCCUCUUCUGUCCCGCCAUCGACUACAAAUCAAACCAAAAAACCAGAAAAAUGAGGACCAUAAAGAAAAUCAAAGUCGCCUAGUAUCACAGGAUACUUACAAAUUCUAAAUCCAAACCUUGGAGUUAGAUCUGGGUAUAGCAAAAGAUUUGCUUGGAAUUAUUCGUCUACCACAGUCAUCACCCUUUGUUAUCAAGAAACGAAGAUUCCAAGAAACUUCACACAAAAAAAAUCAGCUCCAAAACCCAGAAGUUUAGAUUCAAAAU